GCCUUUCUACUCCAGGAAGCCGCAGCCUACGGCCUGAAGGAGGAAGAGGACGCGGUCAGUUUGAAAUAGCUGAAUCGAUGACAUCCUGAUAGCAGCAAUACAAUUAAGCUGGGCCAGUUCUUCAGAUGAUCAGAGGGACUUCGCCAUCAUCACAUCCCUCAUUGCUGCAGUCAGACUGAAACAGGACGGUGAUGCAUGGCAGUCCAUGCCCGAGAUACGGAUGAUGAAGAGACCACAGCAACAUCUGGUCCAGAUGAGGACACAAGGGCAUGUGGACUGAUGCAGGGUCUCGUUCAGUUCACUACAGGAGAACAGGAGUGGCUAAACUCAGUCUAGAACUGCUGCUGUCUUGCAGAGUUUAGUUGAAGUUGACUCUAAACUCUGCAGGACACCAGCUGUCCACAACUGACUUUGGGCACCCCUGCAUUACAGCAUUUCCAAGAUGCUGCUGCAUGUGGACUUCUUUACCCUCACCACACACACCAAUCUGCAGAUAUUUCAGAUCAAACAAAACAUAAAAAACAUUCAAAAAACAAUGUCAUUUUACUGUACAAUGUGUCAUUUGAUUUCUGUAGUGCUAGUAAUAAAAUUAUCCUACCUCUU
ensembl:processed_transcript